rnacentral:rRNA from 1 species
GGUGAGUAAUGUCUGGGAAACUGCCUGAUGGAGGGGGAUAACUACUGGAAACGGUAGCUAAUACCGCAUAACGUCGCAAGACCAAAGAGGGGACCUUCGGGCCUCUUGCCAUCAGAUGUGCCCAGAUGGGAUUAGCUAGUAGGUGGGGUAACGGCUCACCUAGGCGACGAUACAUAGCUGGUCUGAGAGGAUGACCAGCCACACUGGAACUGAGACACGGUCCAG